UGCUGUUUCGCUGACGAGUGGCGGACGGGUGAGUAAUGUCUGGGAAACUGCCUGAUGGAGGGGGAUAACUACUGGAAACGGUAGCUAAUACCGCAUAACGUCGCAAGACCAAAGAGGGGGACCUUCGGGCCUCUUGCCAUCGGAUGUGCCCAGAUGGGAUUAGCUAGUAGGUGGGGUAACGGCUCACCUAGGCGACGAUCCCUAGCUGGUCUGAGAGGAUGACCAGCCACACUGGAACUGAGACACGGUCCAGACUCCUACGGGAGGCAGCAGUGGGGAAUAUUGCACAAUGGGCGCAAGCCUGAUGCAGCCAUGCCGCGUGUAUGAAGAAGGCCUUCGGGUUGUAAAGUACUUUCAGCGGGGAGGAAGGGAGUAAAGUUAAUACCUUUACUCAUUGACGUUACCCGCAGAAGAAGCACCGGCUAACUCCGUGCCAGCAGCCGCGGUAAUACGGAGGGUGCAAGCGUUAAUCGGAAUUACUGGGCGUAAAGCGCACGCAGGCGGUUUGUUAAGUCAGAUGUGAAAUCCCCGGGCUCAACCUGGGAACUGCAUCUGAUACUGGCAAGCUUGAGUCUCGUAGAGGGGGGUAGAAUUCCAGGUGUAGCGGUGAGAUGCGUAGAGAUCUGGAGGAAUACCGGUGGCGAAGGCGGCCCCCUGGACGAAGACUGACGCUCA
rnacentral:rRNA from 1 species